CCUACGGGGCGCUGCAGUGAGGAAUAUUGGUCAAUGGACGAGAGUCUGAACCAGCCAAGUAGCGUGAAGGAUGACUGCCCUAUGGGUUGUAAACUUCUUUUAUAAAGGAAUAAAACGAGGCACGUGUGCCUUUUUGCAUGUACUUUAUGAAUAAGGAUCGGCUAACUCCGUGCCAGCAGCCGCGGUAAUACGGAGGAUCCGAGCGUUAUCCGGAUUUGUUGGGUUUAAAGGGAGCGUAGAUGGGUUGUUAAGUCAGUUGUGAAAGUUUGCGGCUCAACCGUAAAAUUGCAAUUGAUACUGGCAGUCUUGAGUACAGUUGAGGUAGGCGGAAUUCGUGGUGUAGCGGUGAAAUGCUUAGAUAUCACGAAGAACCCCGAUUGCGAAGGCAGCUUACUAAACUGUGACUGACAUUGAUGCUCGAAAGUGUGGGUAUCAAACAGGAUUAGAUACCCCAGUAGUC
rnacentral:rRNA from 1 species